GGGAAGGUGGUUGAGUGGUUGAAAACAACGGUUUGCUAAAUCGUCACACAAACGAUUCUUGUGUCAUGGGUUCGAAUCCCAUUCUUCCUA
rnacentral:tRNA from 1 species